CAGAAGGUUCCAGCUCAUUGAAAGCAGCCUCAUUUGUUUUCCAUUACGGCUCACCAACAUCUACCUGGGCUGUGCUCUCAGGGUUCCGGCAGCAACAUGACAGAGCCGGGAAGGCUGAUGGAUUUAUGACAUAUGGCUUUGAUGACAUAUUUACCAAGUCUUGCUUGCUGGAUUCCAGAAGCAAGAGGCUGGGAGCUGGAAAAGGAGAGGCUUCCUGAAAAUUGAGCCCACUGAGAAAAUAACAGACCAGCAGACUGGGAAUCAAAGAAGUUAAUUUAUGUGUACAAACUCACACAGCUUAUUAGAAGUGGAUCCGGGAAAUCUGAGAUGUACUUAAGACAAAGGCAACAGAGAAGGAGUCGCAGAUAUCCGCGGCAUCAGAGAGGCGUUUUCAGGUUGGCUGUACAGAGACAGGAGGAAGAUGACACAGAUAUACGGAUGACAUGAACCUGGACAUGAAGGACACAUUGAUACCAGCCCUGGAGAUGGAAGUGUUUACAGGGAAGUGGGUGAGAAUCUUGGUGAGUUAAACAGAUGACCCCUCCAGUCUCUCUCUCUGGUUAUGUGACAGCCACAGCUCCUAUUCAACACUGGUAAAAGGAUUCACCUUGGCGAGAGAGACUCCCAGUUUCCUUGCUUCAGGAGUCUUCUGCUGCCAGGUGGUUGGGUGAUAGAGAAAUGAGCCUGCAAAUUCUUCCCCCUUUAGCAGCAUGGAGAGAUGGCUGGGGUGUCAUUCUGUGACCUCAGCACAUUACAGUCUCCUCUUCUAGCAGGAGGAGUUCGUAAGAUGUCUAUGCAUUAUUCCUACAUGACAGUGGCAGUUGGAGCUGAAAAACUAAGAAAGUUCCAACAGGGAUAAAAGCGUAGUCUGCCGCUCCAACUUUUCUUUGGUCUGUCACCUCCAUUUAAUUAUAAAGGUGUAGAGAAAAGGUGAAAAUGCAAUGAUGAUAGCAUGAUAGCAAAAUACAUGGAGAAGUCAGAAUUAAAAUUCUCCUGUAGAAAAGUAAUCAUUUCCUGCCUCAGAUUUGUGAAAACAUUAAUGACAAGACUAUCACAUUAUGAGGAAUGUGAUUAACAUAAUGCUGCCUAAUGAAUUAAUUCCUCCAGUGGAUCCAAAGGUAAAAAUAUUUUCUUUUCCCCUUAAUCCUCUCUAAUAGAUGUAGAUUUGCCAAUGGAGGUUAUUUUUUUCUACUUUAUGCAUUUGUUAGAAGCAUUCUCUUCUUAUACAGAGAUGUAUGAAUGGAGAGUAUACCGAAUUGCUAUCUGUGUAAAUAUAGACCUUCCAUUUUCAGAACCAGGGGGAGUUAAAAUUAUUUUUUCAAUUUAUUUUCAGGAAAUUUAUGAUCACUUAAGGUUGAUUUAUUAAUCCAUGAUAUUUGAUCCAAAAGAAGUCAUUUCUUCCCUUUGCCCUGAUGGGUUUUAGAAAAUAGACAACAUCUUAUUUGGCUUUUAAAAGUUUAAGAAAAAAUAGCAUUAAUAUUUUGGGAAGCAAACUGUCAUCUAGAAAUUUUAUCUUUGAAGUGUGUCAGAAGAAAUUACAUUAUUCUAAAUACAGAACACACCAAAAAAUUGUAUACGCAUUUCAGGAAAAGAAAAACAGCAUGAUGUUUUUUCGACAGAUGGUUUAUCCUCAUAUGAGGGACCCUAGAGGAUGUUGUAUAUUACAGAAAACCCAUUACACUGGCAGCCUUUAAAGAAGAAAUUGAAAAUGUGGGUGCAGUAAUCUCAAUGACCAAGGUUAUCCAAG